rnacentral:rRNA from 1 species
UACGUAGGGGGCAAGCGUUAUCCGGAUUUAUUGGGUUUAAAGGGCGCGUAGGCGGGACGCCAAGUCAGCGGUAAAAGACUGCAGCUAAACUGUAGCACGCCGUUGAAACUGGCGCCCUCGAGACGAGACGAGGGAGGCGGAACAAGUGAAGUAGCGGUGAAAUGCUUAGAUAUCACUUGGAACCCCGAUAGCGAAGGCAGCUUCCCAGGCUCGGUCUGACGCUGAUGCGCGAGAGCGUGGGUAGCGAACAGG